rnacentral:rRNA from 1 species
CACGAAGGGGGCUAGCGUUGUUCGGAAUUACUGGGCGUAAAGCGCACGUAGGCGGGUUGUUAAGUCAGGGGUGAAAUCCCGGAGCUCAACUCCGGAACUGCCUUUGAUACUGGCAAUCUAGAGACUGGAAGAGGUUAGUGGAAUUCCCAGUGUAGAGGUGAAAUUCGUAGAUAUUGGGAAGAACACCAGUGGCGAAGGCGGCUAACUGGUCCAGUACUGACGCUGAGGUGCGAAAGCGUGGGGAGCAAACAGG